rnacentral:rRNA from 1 species
CGCGCAGGCGGUUUUGUAAGCCUGGUGUUAAAGGCUCUGGCUUAACCAGAGUUGAGCGCUGGGAACUGCGAGACUGGAGUCCUGGAGGGGGAGCUGGAAUUCCAGGUGUAGGGGUGAAAUCUGUAGAUAUCUGGAAGAACACCGGUGGCGAAGGCGAGCUCCUGGCCAUGGACUGACGCUGAGGCGCGAAAGCGUGGGGAGCGAACA